AGAACCCUCAUUUCCAUAGAUAAUCUAUUGGCUUAAAGUUCCAAGAAGAUGCCCACAUUUUCUCUUUCCAAAAUUAUCUAUAGAGCUUAUUCCUUGUUGAAUGGUUGCUGUGAAGCAACUCCCUUAAAAGGCAGUCCCCAAAUCUACCCCAAUCUUUCAGCAGUCAAGAGAAACUUCAUCCCUUUAACAGUACACCUAUUGUCAUUCUCACCCCGGGCCAUAGAUCUAUAAAAUUCUCGCACAAGCCAUGGGUAGGUUGGCUGAUUCAUGGAGAAGAAUCUUUCUUAAUCUUGCCGAUAGAUCCAAGUUUCGAUCUGAAAGCCUUGUUAAUCAAAAAAUCAAAAAUCAACAUUCCUUUCGAUUGUUACAGCCUGAUCGAGAAGAGACGUAGUAGAGGGAGGAGGAACAGGACAAUGAGGUGCGAUAGUACCUUCUUGAAAGUCUGAAUCACUAUCUAAUCUACCCUCCCAUUCAUGCAUGUUGCGAGUUCUCCAUUGCACACCAUGGAGGAAAAUCCAAGAGAGAAAGGGAAGGAUUGACAGGUGGAGGUCAACUGGGGUCCUUGGAGGUCUUAGGCCAAAUAGUAAAAAGAGGGAAGUGAAUCAAGAAAGAGGAGGCUC
rnacentral:lncRNA from 1 species